GCUGAGGGCAGGGACCGGAACAUCUAGACUUCCAGUGUGUCUUAAAGAAUUAAGCAGUCCUUGGUCCCAGAUGUAGGCAAACCUUUUCUCUGAAAG